UUAAGUGAAUAAGGGCGCACGGUGGAUGCCUUGGCACUAGGAGCCGAUGAAGGACGGGACUAACACCGAUAUGCUUUGGGGAGCUGUACGUAAGCUAUGAUCCAGAGAUUUCCGAAUGGGGGAACCCAGCAUCUUUAAUAGGAUGUUACGAUUGUGUGAAUACAUAGCACAUUCGAGGUAGACGCAGAGAACUGAAACAUCUAAGUACCUGCAGGAAGAGAAAGAAAAUUCGAUUCCCUGAGUAGCGGCGAGCGAAACGGGAAAAGCCCAAACCAACAAGCUUGCUUGUUGGGGUUGUAGGACUCCAAUAUGGUCGUUCUUUCAGAUAGUCGAAUGACUUGGAAAAGUCAGUCAAAGAGGGUAAAAACCCCGUAGACGAAAUGUGGAAGACACCUAGGAGGAUCCUGAGUACGGCGGAACACGAGAAAUUCCGUCGGAAUCCGGGAGGACCAUCUCCCAAGGCUAAAUACUCCCUAGUGACCGAUAGUGAACCAGUACCGUGAGGGAAAGGUGAAAAGCACCCCGGAAGGGGAGUGAAAUAGAACCUGAAACCGUGUGCCUACAACAAGUCAAAGCCCGUUAAUGGGUGAUGGCGUGCCUUUUGUAGAAUGAACCGGCGAGUUACGAUUGCAUGCGAGGUUAAGUUGAAGAGACGGAGCCGCAGCGAAAGCGAGUCUGAAUAGGGCGUUUGAGUAUGUAGUCGUAGACCCGAAACCAUGUGAUCUACCCAUGUCCAGGUUGAAGGUGCGGUAAAACGCACUGGAGGACCGAACCCACGUACGUUGAAAAGUGCGGGGAUGAGGUGUGGGUAGCGGAGAAAUUCCAAACGAACUUGGAGAUAGCUGGUUCUCUCCGAAAUAGCUUUAGGGCUAGCCUCGGAAUUGAGAAUGAUGGAGGUAGAGCACUGUUUGGACUAGGGGCCCAUCUCGGGUUACCGAAUUCAGAUAAACUCCGAAUGCCAUUCAUUCAUAUCCGGGAGUCAGACUGUGAGUGAUAAGAUCCAUAGUAGAAAGGGAAACAGCCCAGACCACCAGCUAAGGUCCCAAAAUAUAUGUUAAGUGGAAAAGGAUGUGGGGUUGCACAGACAACUAGGAUGUUGGCUUAGAAGCAGCCACCAUUUAAAGAGUGCGUAAUAGCUCACUAGUCGAGUGACCCUGCGCCGAAAAUGUACCGGGGCUAAACAUAUUACCGAAGCUGUGGAGUACACCUUUAGGUGUAUUGGUAGGAGAGCGUUCUAAGGGCGUCGAAGGCAGAUCGUGAGGACUGCUGGAGCGCUUAGAAGUGAGAAUGCCGGUAUGAGUAGCGAAAGACAGGUGAGAAUCCUGUCCACCGAAUGACUAAGGUUUCCUGGGGAAGGCUCGUCCGCCCAGGGUUAGUCGGGACCUAAGCCGAGGCCGAUAGGCGUAGGCGAUGGAUAACAGGUUGAUAUUCCUGUACCCGUUGUUUUUGUUUGAGCAAUGGAGGGACGCAGGAGGCUAAGGAAUGCAGACGAUCGGAAAUGUCUGUCCAAGCAGUAAGUCUGAAGAGGAGUCAAAUGCUUCUUUUCUUAAGGACAAGCUGUGAUGGGGAGGGAAAUAAUAGUACCGAAGUUCCUGAUGUCACACUGCCGAGAAAAGCUUCUAGUGAGAAAACAGCGGCCCGUACCGCAAACCGACACAGGUAGUCGAGGAGAGAAUCCUAAGGUGAGCGAGAGAACUCUCGUUAAGGAACUCGGCAAAAUGACCCCGUAACUUCGGGAGAAGGGGUGCUGAUCAUACGAUCAGCCGCAGUGAAUAGGCCCAAGCGACUGUUUAUCAAAAACACAGGUCUCUGCAAAAUCGUAAGAUGAAGUAUAGGGGCUGACGCCUGCCCGGUGCUGGAAGGUUAAGAGGAGUGCUUAGCGCAAGCGAAGGUACGAAUUGAAGCCCCAGUAAACGGCGGCCGUAACUAUAACGGUCCUAAGGUAGCGAAAUUCCUUGUCGGGUAAGUUCCGACCCGCACGAAAGGCGUAACGAUUUGGGCACUGUCUCAACGAGAGACUCG
rnacentral:rRNA from 1 species